AUUGAACGCUAGCGGGAUGCCUUACACAUGCAAGUCGAACGGAGUGGCGAACGGGUGAGUAAUGUAUCGGUACGUGCCCAGUAGCGGGGGAUAACUACGCGAAAGCGUAGCUAAUACCGCAUACUCUUGGCGCGGCCGAUAUCGGAUUAGCUAGUUGGUGGGGUAAAGGCUCACCAAGGCCACGAUCCCUAGCCGGUUUGAGAGGAUGACCAGCCACACUGGGACUGAGACACGGCCCAGACUCCUACGGGAGGCAGCAGUGGGGAAUUUUGGACAAUGGGGGAAACCCUGAUGCAGCCAUGCCGCGUGUGCGAUGAAGGCCUUCGGGUUGUAAAGCACUUUUGGCAGGAAAGCGGUACCUGCAGAAGAAGCACCGGCUAACUACGUGCCAGCAGCCGCGGUAAUAC
rnacentral:rRNA from 1 species